GGGAAUACACCGAAGCAAAAUGAGAUUUUCCAUUUUUAGAGGGGGGACUACAACACCACAAUAAGAAUAGAGAAACAACCAUCAUCUUCUCCAGGAGAAAAACUCCAUUUUUUUCUUUAUAUACACACUUCACACAUCAUCACAGAGGAAACCCAUCACCCAUAACAAAAAGGGAAUCCUCCAUUUGUUUCAAUGUACACAGAUUGACACGACAACAAUUUCAAACACACAGCAAAUCGACACAACACCAGCAGUAACAGUAUUACCAUUCUUACUGCUAAACAGAGACCCAAAUUUCCUUUGAACGCAAUCUAUACGCACUCACCGAGCAUACACACACUUCCAUCAGAUACACACAUAUACGAAUGAGAGAGAUCCUGAGAGAGAGGACAGAGAGAAGAGAAUAAGUAAGCGAGAAAGCUGAUCGGAGAAGUGACGAGAAAAAGAAAAAACUGAUCGGAAAAUAGUGAAACACCGGCGAGAAACAGACCUGUUCGUGUAAAGUUUGGUGUGGGUCAUUCUCUCUUAGCAAUUUUAGUUCGAAUUAGCAAAAAAUAGGAUUGGGUUGGAUAGCUGGGUUUUUCGAUUGGCGAGUUUUCUUGUGGAGGUUGAUUCGAGGUUUCGGACACGGAUCCUAUCUUUUUGAUCGAGUGAUACUUGAUUAUGAUAAUCAAUUGAGGUCCGAUUCUACUCCUUCACUUUUUUAUUUUUUUAUCUAUCGUAUUCGAUGCAUUGAAUUGAGUGUCAUUGCUUGAUAUUUGGUGGUGAUGAAUCAUUGUUUUUUUUGAUUUGUGGUUGGGUCCCUUGAUUAUGACUUGUAUAGUGAAAUGGUAUGUCGUUUGAGAAUUAAAAUGGGUUGUUUGAGGCGGAAUUGAAAUUGAUAAAAGUGAAAGUGUAUUUAUUUUGAUUCAUUGUUAGAGAUUUAAUUCAAAAUAAAUAUGGAUGUUGUUAAACGCAACAGUAUCAUGAUAGAGUAAAAUUCAUAGGCAAACGGUAGGUUGGGUAAGCAAAUUUUUAGAAAUUGUGGAAUAUUGAAUGCUUGAAACAUGUGUUGAAUGACUUAGUUUUAUUUCUUUUGAAUCAAAUAUAUCAGUGGCCGGGAAAUGCCCUGAGGUAUUUGUGUUUAUUCGACAGGAUUUCACCGAGGUAUUUUGUAGCCGGAGGAUGUUAGUGACAAAGGCCCGAGGCAUCGGGUGGAGCUUAGUCUAGGAUUAGUUUAGAAUAGGAUUUAUACUUUUUGCAUUUUUCUAUUUUGGACUGUAUAAUUAGAUUGGACACUAUAUUUUGGAUUGUUUUGUUUUGUUUGUUUGACUAAUUGUUUUACAUAUUUUUUGUGUGGUUUAUACAUUCAUCGUGCCAAAAUAGACGAUACAUUCCACAAAGAGACCGUGGCCAAACCACAGGAUCAGGGGGUUCCUAACACCUUCCCCUCGGUCAACAGAAUUCAUUAUCCGGAAUAUCUGUUCGCAGAUCAGUUUUAGAGUCAAACUAUUUUGAAAAAGGAUUUCCAAAGGUGACUUGACACACCCGAUUUAUGUCUAGUGGGGACUCUGAGUUAAUUGUAAAAUGAAUUUUUUUUGAAAUAAAUUUUUCAUUUUUGUCACUUUAAUAAUAAAAACCCUUUCAAACUUUAAAAUUAAUCUUUUUGGUUAAAAGGAGGUGUGAUAGCACUGGCGACUCUGCUGGAGAUUUUUCAGAAUUCAAGCUUAUUUUUGGAGUUGUACUGGCUUAGUUUGACACUAUGGAUGUAUAGACAUUUUGUUUGU
rnacentral:lncRNA from 1 species